GUGAUUGCUCAGUGGUUAGAGCACUGACUACAGCACUGGCUGCUCUUCCAGAGGCCCUGGGUUCAAUUCCCAGCAACCACA
rnacentral:tRNA from 1 species